UACAGAGGGUGCAAACGUUGUUCGGAAUCACUGGGCAUAAAGCGCACGUAGGCUGUCUCGUAAGUGUGGAGUGAAAUCCCACGGCUCAACCGUGGAACUGCUUGGCAUACUGCGAGACUCGAGGACGGUAGGGGAGAGCGGAACUGCCUGGUGGAGCGGUGAAAUGCGUAGAUAUCUGGAGGAACACCAAUGGCGAAAGCGCGUGACUGGGCCACAACUGACGCUGAGGA
rnacentral:rRNA from 1 species